UGAGAGAGAGCGAGGAGAAAGAGCGCAAAAAGCGAUGUAAACAAACAAGCACAAGUAGUAGGAAAAAAGUGAAAAACGUUUACGAGCAGCUAGACGCGCGUGAAUAGGGGUUAAAAGGUGCGCUUUUGUGCAGUUUCGCGAGUUUGGUGCAUUUUGUGCGUGCAACGAGAAGGUUGACGAUCACGUACAGGUAGAAGCUACGAUCACGAACAGUACGGUCGCAAGCGGUUGAUUAGACGUUCCGACGGGACGUAGAAGGCCAGUUGACCUCGAACAGCACAAGAACGACACAGUACAGGACAGAAUUGGAUUCCGGCGGAGUCAGCAGGGAAUUUCAAUUGAACUUGAUUGUGGAUAGGACGGUUACAAGGAGCAGGAAAAGAUUUCUGGAAAGGAUCAAACUAAAAAAUGUAAGGAAACACACACACACACACAUGUACAUUUACAAACAUACUAAAAACUGUUCUUAAAUACAUUCAACAGUUUGAUCUGCUGCGAAGCGGCUGAUUCACAAAAUUUCGUUGGAUUAU